AUCCUGGCUCAGAUUGAACGCUGGCGGCAUGCCUUACACAUGCAAGUCGAACGGCAGCACGGGAGCAAUCCUGGUGGCGAGUGGCGAACGGGUGAGUAAUAUAUCGGAACGUGCCCAGUCGUGGGGGAUAACGCAGCGAAAGCUGUGCUAAUACCGCAUACGCCCUGAGGGGGAAAGCGGGGGAUCGAAAGACCUCGCGCGAUUAGAGCGGCCGAUGCCUGAUUAGCUUGUUGGUGGGGUAAAAGCCCACCAAGGCGACGAUCAGUAGCUGGUCUGAGAGGACGAUCAGCCACACUGGGACUGAGACACGGCCCAGACUCCUACGGGAGGCAGCAGUGGGGAAUUUUGGACGAAUGGGGGAAACCCUGAUCCAGCAAUGCCGCGUGAGUGAAGAAGGCCUUCGGGUUGUAAAGCUCUUUUGUCAGGGAAGAAACACCGGCUCUAACACAGUCCGGGAAUGACGGUACCUGAAGAAUAAGCACCGGCUAACUACGUG
rnacentral:rRNA from 1 species